GAUGAACGCUGGCGGCGUGCCUAAUACAUGCAAGUCGAGCGAACAGACGAGGAGCUUGCUCCCCUGACGUUAGCGGCGGACGGGUGAGUAACACGUGGAUAACCUACCUAUAAGACUGGGAUAACUUCGGGAAACCGGAGCUAAUACCGGAUAAUAUAUUGGACCGCAUGGUUCAAUAGCGAAAGACGGUUCUGCUGUCACUUAUAGAUGGAUCCGCGCCGUAUUAGCUAGUUGGUGAGGUAACGGCUUACCAAGGCAACGAUACGUAGCCGACCUGAGAGGGUGAUCGGCCACACUGGAACUGAGACACGGUCCAGACUCCUACGGGAGGCAGCAGUAGGGAAUCUUCCGCAAUGGGCGAAAGCCUGACGGAGCAACGCCGCGUGAGUGAUGAAGGUCUUCGGAUCGUAAAACUCUGUUAUCAGGGAAGAACAAAUGUGUAAGUAACUGUGCACAUCUUGACGGUACCUGAUCAGAAAGCCACGGCUAACUACGUGCCAGCAGCCGCGGUAAUACGUAGGUGGCAAGCGUUAUCCGGAAUUAUUGGGCGUAAAGCGCGCGUAGGCGGUUUUUUUAAGUCUGAUGUGAAAGCCCACGGCUCAACCGUGGAGGGUCAUUGGAAACUGGAAAACUUGAGUGCAGAAGAGGAAAGUGGAAUUCCAUGUGUAGCGGUGAAAUGCGCAGAGAUAUGGAGGAACACCAGUGGCGAAGGCGACUUUCUGGUCUGUAACUGACGCUGAUGUGCGAAAGCGUGGGGAUCAAACAGGAUUAGAUACCCUGGUAGUCCACGCCGUAAACGAUGAGUGCUAAGUGUUAGGGGGUUUCCGCCCCUUAGUGCUGCAGCUAACGCAUUAAGCACUCCGCCUGGGGAGUACGACCGCAAGGUUGAAACUCAAAGGAAUUGACGGGGACCCGCACAAGCGGUGGAGCAUGUGGUUUAAUUCGAAGCAACGCGAAGAACCUUACCAAAUCUUGACAUCCUUUGACUGCUCUAGAGAUAGAGUCUUCCCCUUCGGGGGACUAAGUGACAGGUGGUGCAUGGUUGUCGUCAGCUCGUGUCGUGAGAUGUUGGGUUAAGUCCCGCAACGAGCGCAACCCUUAAGCUUAGUUGCCAUCAUUAAGUUGGGCACUCUAAGUUGACUGCCGGUGACAAACCGGAGGAAGGUGGGGAUGACGUCAAAUCAUCAUGCCCCUUAUGAUUUGGGCUACACACGUGCUACAAUGGACAAUACAAAGGGCAGCUAAACCGCGAGGUCAAGCAAAUCCCAUAAAGUUGUUCUCAGUUCGGAUUGUAGUCUGCAACUCGACCACAUGAAGCUGGAAUCGCUAGUAAUCGUAGAUCAGCAUGCUACGGUGAAUACGUUCCCGGGUCUUGUACACACCGCCCGUCACACCACGAGAGUUUGUAACACCCGAAGCCGGUGGAGUAACCAUUUAUGGAGCUAGCCGUCGAAGGUGGGACAAAUGAUUGGGGUGAAGUCGUAACAAGGUAGCCGUAUCGGAAGG
rnacentral:rRNA from 1 species